rnacentral:rRNA from 1 species
AGAGUUUGAUCAUGGCUCAGGAUGAACGCUGGCGGUAUGCUUAACACAUGCAAGUCGAACGAAAUCUUCGGAUUUAGUGGCGGACGGGUGAGUAACGCGUGAGAAUCUACUCUUAGAUUGGGGACAACAGUUGGAAACGACUGCUAAUACCGAAUGUGCCGAAAGGUAAAAGAUUUAUCGUCUGAGAAUGAGCUCGCGUUGGAUUAGCUAGUUGGAGUGGUAAUGGCACACCAAGGCGACGAUCCAUAACUGGUCUGAGAGGAUGACCAGUCACACUGGGACUGAGACACGGCCCAGACUCCUACGGGAGGCAGCAGUGGGGAAUUUUCCGCAAUGGGCGAAAGCCUGACGGAGCAAUACCGCGUGAGGGAGGAAGGCUCUUGGGUCGUAAACCUCUUUUAUUAGGGAAGAAGAUCUGACGGUACCUAAUGAAUCAGCUCGAUUCCGC